AGAUAUUAAAAUAGAUUGUCUAUAUCUGAUUACGGCUCAGCUAGGAUUAA
rnacentral:tRNA from 1 species